rnacentral:rRNA from 1 species
UUCCAGACUCCUACGGGAGGCAGCAGUGGGGAAUAUUGCACAAUGGGCGAAAGCCUGAUGCAGCAACGCCGCGUGAAGGAAGAAGGGUUUCGGCUCGUAAACUUCUAUCAACAGGGACGAAAGAAAUGACGGUACCUGAAUAAGAAGCCCCGGCUAAAUACGUGCCAGCAGCCGCGGUAAUACGUAUGGGGCAAGCGUUAUCCGGAUUUACUGGGUGUAAAGGGAGCGUAGGCGGCAGGGCAAGCCUGAUGUGAAAGCCCGGGGCUCAACCCCGGGACUGCAUUGGGAACUGCCCCGCUCGAGUGCCGGAGGGGCAGGCGGAAUUCCUAGUGUAGCGGUGAAAUGCGUAGAUAUUAGGAGGAACACCAGUGGCGAAGGCGGCCUGCUGGACGGUGUACUGACGCUGAGGCUCGAAAGCGUGGGGAGCAAACAGGAUUAGAUACCCUGGUAAUU